UACGUAGGGUGCAAGCGUUAAUCGGAAUUACUGGGCGUAAAGCGUGCGCAGGCGGUUGUGCAAGUCCGAUGUGAAAUCCCCGGGCUUAACCUGGGAAUGGCAUUGGUGACUGCACGGCUAGAGUGUGUCAGAGGGGGGUAGAAUUCCACGUGUAGCAGUGAAAUGCGUAGAGAUGUGGAGGAAUACCGAUGGCGAAGGCAGCCCCCUGGGAUAACACUGACGCUCAUGCACGAAAGCGUGGGGAGCAAACAGG
rnacentral:rRNA from 1 species